CCCUCCCAUCACACGCUUUUGAAUUUUGACUCACAUUUUCUUUCUUCUCUCUCUCAUCAUAAAUUAAUACAAUUUUCCGUGAAAAUCGAAAUCAUAGAUCGGACCAAUCAAACGCAUCCUCACAAACCAAAAGAAAAAAAAAACAAAAAAAAAACCAAACAAAAACAACCAACAAAACUAAAAAAAAACACAUCCCAUAAUUUUCUCUCUCUUCUCUCUUCUUUCUUCUUCCUUUCUCUCUCCUUUCAUCCAUGGGAGAGAAACUCCAACUACAAACAAAUCUUCAAAAUCUUCAAAUUCUUCAUUCCAGUUAAUUAUACUUAA